rnacentral:tRNA from 1 species
GGAAGGGUCGCAUAGUGGUCGAUUGCGCAUGCUUGGAAAGCAUGUAACGAUGCAAGUCGUUCGGGGGUUCGAAUCCCCCCCCUUCCGCCA